GAGCACGUAGGUGGGUUUGUAAGUCAGAUGUGAAAGCCUUCUGUUCAACGGAAGAAUUGCGUCUGAAACUGCGAGUCUUGAGUGUAGGAGGGGAGAAUGGAACUUCUGGUGGAGCGGUGAAAUGCGUAGAUAUCAGAAGGAACUCCGGCGGCGAAAGCGAUUCUCUGGCCUAUUACUGACACUCAGUGUGCGAAAGCUAGGGGAGCAAACGGGAUUAGAUACCCCGGUAGUCCUAGCCGUAAACGAUGGGCACUAAGUAGAGGGGUUUU
rnacentral:rRNA from 1 species